GAUGAACGCUAGCGGCAGGCCUAACACAUGCAAGUCGAGGGGCAGCACAGGUAGCAAUACUGGGUGGCGACCGGCGGAUGGGUGCGUAACGCGUAUGCAACCUACCAUUGAUUGGGGCAUAGCCCGAAGAAAUUCGGAUUAAUACUCCAUAAUAUUCAUCAAAGGCAUCUUUUAUGAAUUAAAGCUUUUGCGAUCAAUGAUGAGCAUGCGUGACAUUAGUUAGUUGGUGAGGUAACGGCUCACCAAAACGAUGAUGUCUAGGGGUUCUGAGAGGAUUAUCCCCCACACUGGUACUGAGACACGGACCAGACUCCUACGGGAGGCAGCAGUGAGGAAUAUUGGUCAAUGGACGCAAGUCUGAACCAGCCAUGCCGCGUGCAGGAUGACGGCCCUAUGGGUUGUAAACUGCUUUUCCACGGGAAGAACCCUCCGACGUGUCGGAGACUGACGGUACCGUGGGAAUAAGCAUCGGCUAACU
rnacentral:rRNA from 1 species